rnacentral:pre_miRNA from 1 species
UUUUAAGGACCUGAUCCAAAGCUCAUUGAAGUCAAUGUGAGUCUUUCCACUGACUUCAAUGAGUUUUGGAUCAGGCCCUUAGGAA